AUGCUUCUCCUAAAGACUAAGCCAUGCAUGCCUUCGAAUACGAGGAAGCAAUUCUCUCUGAAUCUGCGAACGGCUCCGCAAACCAGUUGUAAACUAUAGCAAGCAAGCCCUAGGCCCCUCGGGGUCUGGGGCAACAUGGAUAACCCUGGUAAUUCUGAGGCUAAUACAAGAACGUAAUACCUGGCUAACCGGUUCGCUGGAAGGCUGGGAGACGUGUAGAUGCUUCGCGAGGAAUUUGCUGGGAAUAGAUG
rnacentral:rRNA from 1 species